rnacentral:tRNA from 1 species
GGCCUCCUAGCUCAGUUGGAUAAAGCGUUGGCUGUACUGAAGCCAUCCCUUGCUGGUGUGGGUUCGAAUCCCAAUGAGGCCA